UUGAAGAGCAAAAAAGAGGAGACUGAGCCGGCGAGAUGAUCACAGCCUUGAUUCAGUGUUUGAUUCAAUUGAAGAGGUGGUCCUGUGAGCACAGGGGCUCAAGGAGGAUCAACUCAAAUAAAGGAGCUGACAAACCUGUCCAACCGAAGAACAACACUGUCCUUGACAGAGGUGGAAGCAGCUGCUGUAAGAGAUGCCUUUGCCUGCAUCAUCUGCAAGGGUCUAGUGGUUGAGCCCAUGGUGACAUUGUGUUGCCACAGCAUUGUUGGCUGCAGGAUCUGCAUUGAACAAUGGCAGAAAAAUUCUACAACUUGCCCAAAAUGUCGAGGGGAUGAGUUUGACCUCAGUAUGCAAAAACCCUCCGGACUGUCUGAUGCAUUCGCUGUGCUGGAAAACACACUGUACUAGUUAAACUAUACAGUAUACGGUAUAGUCAUGCUGUGAAUUGUUCAGAUUCUUUCCACUUGACUGUUUUUUGCAUUCAAAGCACUUUUGACUUGAAAUGUCUGUGCAUCUAAUUACUUUACCUCUAAUUAUUUUAUCUAUUCCCAGUGUCUCUUGACAGUUGUGCUCAGGUAUCUCAUAUUUGCACUGUUUUAUGUUUUAUUUGUUAAUGUUUUCCAGAAGUAUUGAGAAUUUUAUAGACUGAGGACUUGGUUGUGUUGCUACACUUUUUAUAUUACAGCUGAGUCUCAACACACAAAUGUAAUAUUUUUCUAUAGCUGUGUAAGACUUGAAAUGUUAAAUAAAACUAUUCAAAGAAAUACA